rnacentral:misc_RNA from 1 species
GAUGAAGAACGCAGCAAAAUGCGAUAAGUAAUGUGAAUUGCAGAAUUCAGUGAAUCAUCGAAUCUUUGAACGCACAUUGCGCCCGCUGGUAUUCCGGCGGGCAUGCCUGUUCGAGCGUCAUUUCAACCCUCAAGCCCCCGGGUUUGGUGUUGGGGAUCGGCUCUGCCCUUCUGGGCGGUGCCGCCCCCGAAAUACAUUGGCGGUCUCGCUGCAGCCUCCAUUGCGUAGUAGCUAACACCUCGCAACUGGAACGCGGCGCGGCCAUGCCGUAAAACCCCAACUUCUGAAUGUUGACCUCGGAUCAGGUAGGAAUACCCGCUGACUUAAGCAUAUCAAUAAGCGGAGGA